rnacentral:rRNA from 1 species
AAACAUCGCCUCCUGCAGUAUAUAGGAGGUCCAGCCUGCCCAGUGACCAAGUUAAACGGCCGCGGUACCCUAACCGUGCGAAGGUAGCGCAAUCACUUGUUCUUUAAAUGAGGACUAGUAUGAAUGGCAUCACGAGGGUUACACUGUCUCCCACCUCUAAUCAGUGAAACUGAUCUCCCCGUGAAGAAGCGGGGAUAAAACUAUAAGACGAGAAGACCCCAUGGAGCUUCAAACCCGGCAUCAACCAUUAACAUUAAUACCACAUUAAAUAAAUGGACCUGACUGCUGGUUUUAGGUUGGGGUGACCGCGGAGCAUAACAAAACCUCCAUGAUGAACGACCUCCUCUCUAAUCCGAGAGCCACCACUCAAAGAAUCAAAAAAUUGACAUUUAUUGACCCAAACUAUUUUGAUCAACGAACCAAGUUACCCUGGGGAUAACAGCGCAAUCCAUUUCAAGAGCCCCUAUCGACAAAUGGGUUUACGACCUCRAUGUUGGAUCAGGGUAUCCUAGUGGUGCAGCCGCUACUAAAGGUUCGUUUGUUCAACGAUUAAAACCCUACGUGAUCUGA